rnacentral:rRNA from 1 species
GGACUACUGGGGUAUCUAAUCCUGUUCGCUCCCCACGCUUUCGCUCCUCAGCGUCAGUACCGGCCCAGAGUGCCGCCUUCGCUACUGGUGUUCCUCCCGAUAUCUGCGCAUUUCACCGCUACACCGGGAAUUCCACACUCCCCUACCGGACUCGAGUCACGGCAGUUUCACGUGGCGCCUCCACGUUAAGCGUGGAGAUUUCACACGUGACUUGCCGAACCGCCUACGAGCUCUUUACGCCCAAUGAUUCCGGACAACGCUAGGCCCCUACGUAUUACCGCGGCUGCUGGCAC